AUUCUCCGUGCCUUGGAUGGAGGGCGAGGGGGGAAGCACGAGCUCCUUCAGCUGGUUCUGUCCGGUGAGAAGUAGUCAA
rnacentral:miRNA from 1 species